ACCCCGGGAAACUGGGGCUAAUCCCCAAUAGGCGAAGAGGCCUGGAAAAGUUCUCCGCCCAAAAGGCGCUGGGAUCAUGCUUCCCAACGUCGCCUAAGGAUGGGGCCGCGGCCGAUCAGGUUGUUGGUGAGGUAACGGCCCACCAAGCCUAUAACCGGUACGGGCCGUGAGAGCGGUAGCCCGGAGAUGGGCACUGAGACAAGGGCCCAGGUCCUACGGGGCGCAGCAUGCGCGAAAACUCCACAAUGCGCGAAAGCGUGAUGGGGCUACCCCGAGUGCCGUCCGCUGAGGAUGGCUUUUCUCUGGUGUAAGGGGCCGGAGGAAUAAGGGGAGGGCAAGCCUGGUGUCAGCCGCCGCGGUAAUACCAGCUCCCCGAGUGGUAGGGAUAAUUAUUGGGCUUAAAGCGUCCGUAGCCAGCUUAACAAGUCUUUCGUUAAAUCCAGCGAUUCAAUCGUUGGACUGCGGGAGAUACUGUUAGGCUAGGGGGCGGAAGAGGCCGACGGUAUUCUCGGAGUAGGGGUGAAAUCCUAUAAUCCCGAGAGGACCACCAGUGGCGANGGCGGUCGGCUAGAACGCGCCCGACGGUGAGGGACGAAAGCUGGGGGAGCGAACCGGAUUAGAUACCCGGGGUAGUCCCAGCUGUAAACUAUGCGGG
rnacentral:rRNA from 1 species